rnacentral:rRNA from 1 species
UACGUAGGGGGCAAGCGUUGUCCGGAAUCAUUGGGCGUAAAGCGCGUGUAGGCGGUCUAGUAAGUCCGUUGUGAAAGCCCGGGGCUCAACCCCGGGAGGCGGAUGGAUACUGCUGGGCUCGAGUCCGGAAGAGGCAAGUGGAAUUCCCGGUGUAGCGGUGAAAUGCGCAGAUAUCAGGAGGAACACCGAUUGCGAAGGCAGCUCGCUGGGACGUUACUGACGCUGAGACGCGAAAGCGUGGGGAGCAAACAGG